rnacentral:rRNA from 1 species
CCCUUAGAUGUUUUGGGCCGCACGCGCGCUACACUGAUACGCUCAACGAGCUCCUUGGCCGAAAGGUCCGGGUAAUCUUUGAAAUCGUAUCGUGAUGGGGAUAGAACAUUGCAAUUUUUGUUCUUCAACGAGGAAUGCCUAGUAAGCGCGAGUCAUCAUCUCGCGUUGAUUACGUCCCUGCCCUUUGUACACACCGCCCGUCGCUCCUACCGAUUGAAUGGUCCGGUGAAAUCUUCGGAUUGCUGACCAAGAUCCAGCAAUGGAGCUUGGUUGCGAGAAGUUGAUUAAACCUUAUUAUUUAGAGGAAGGAGAAGUCGUAACA